rnacentral:rRNA from 1 species
GGAGCAGUAAGUAUGCUUUGAUCCGAAGAUUUCCGAAUGGGGGAACCCACCAUCCGUAAUGGGAUGGGACAUGUUACAUGAAUACAUAGUGUAGCGUGAGGCAGACCUUGGGAACUGAAACAUCUAAGUACCCGGAGGAAGAGAAAGCAAAUGCGAUUCCCUGAGUAGCGGCGAGCGAAACGGGAACAGCCCAAACCGGAGAGCAUGCUCUUCGGGGUUGUAGGACACUCUAUACGGAGUCAAAAAGGAAGACAGUAGGUGAAGGACCUGGAAAGGUCGGCCGAAGAAGGUGACAGCCCUGUAGCUGAAACUGUUUUCCCUCCAGAGUGGAUCCUGAGUACGGCGGGACACGUGAAACCCCGUCGGAAUCCGGGAGGACCAUCUCCCAAGGCUAAAUACUCCCUAGUGACCGAUAGUGAACCAGUACCGUGAGGGAAAGGUGAAAAGCACCCCAAGGGGAGUGAAAUAGAUCCUGAAACCGUAUGCCUACAAGUAGUCAGAGCCCGUUAACGGGUGAUGGCGUGCCUUUUGUAGAAUGAACCUACGAGUUACGAUAACGCGCGAGGUUAAGCCGAUGAGGCGGAGCCGUAGCGAAAGCGAGUCUGAACAGGGCGUUCAGUGCGUUGUCGUAGACCCGAAACCAGGUGAUCUACCCAUGUCCAGGAUGAAGGUCAGGUAACACUGACUGGAGGUCCGAACCCACGCACGUUGAAAAGUGCGGGGAUGAGGUGUGGGUAGCGGUGAAAUGCCAAUCGAACCUGGAGAUAGCUGGUUCUCCCCGAAAUAGCUUUAGGGCUAGCCUCGAGGUUGAGAGUUCUGGAGGUAGAGCACUGAUUGGACUAGGGGCCCCCACAGGGUUACCGAAUUCAGUUAAACUCCGAAUGCCAGCAACUUAUACUCGGGAGUCAGACUGCGAGUGAUAAGAUCCGUAGUCAAGAGGGAAACAGCCCAGACCGCCAGCUAAGGUCCCAAAGUGUAUGUUAAGUGGAAAAGGAUGUGGCGCCGCCUAGACAGCUAGGAUGUUGGCUUAGAAGCGACCACCAUUCAAAGAGUGCGUAAUAGCUCACUAGUCGAGUGGCGCCGCGCCGAAAAUGUAACGGGGCUAAACAUACCACCGAAGUCACGGAUUCCGUAAGGAAUGGUAGGGGAGCGUUCCAAACCGCUGUGAAGCUGUACCUAAGGAGCAGUGGAGCGUUUGGAAGUGAGAAUGCCGAGGUGAGUAGCGAAAAGAGGGGUGAGAAUCCCCUCCGUCGAAAGCCCAAGGUUUCCUGAGGAAGGCUCGUCCGCUCAGGGUUAGUCUGGACCUAAGCCGAGGCCGAAAGGCGUAGGCGAUGGAUAACAGGUUGAUAUUCCUGUACCGCCGAUCCACCGUUUGAACAAUGGGGGGACGCAGGAGGAUAGUGACGCAUGCGGAUGGAAGUGCAUGUGCAAGUUUCAAGACCGUCUGAUUGGCAAAUCCGUCAGGCAUCAAAGUCAAGGAACGACGCGGAGUCCCGUAGGGACGUAGGUCACGAUUUCACACUGCCAAGAAAAGCCUCUAGUGAGGGGGAAGGCGCCAGUACCGUAAACCGACACAGGUAGGCGAGAUGAGAAUUCUAAGACGCGCGGGAUAACUCUCGUUAAGGAACUCGGCAAAAUGGUCCCGUAACUUCGGGAGAAGGGACGCUCUACAUGAGUAGAGCCGCAGUGAAUAGGCCCAAACGACUGUUUAGCAAAAACACAGGUCUCUGCUAAAUCGCAAGAUGACGUAUAGGGGCUGACGCCUGCCCGGUGCUGGAAGGUUAAGGGGAUGGGUUAGCGCAAGCGAAGCUUUGAACCGAAGCCCCAGUAAACGGCGGCCGUAACUAUAACGGUCCUAAGGUAGCGAAAUUCCUUGUCGGGUAAGUUCCGACCCGCACGAAAGGCGUAACGAUUUGGGCACUGUCUCAACGAGAGACCCGGUGAAAUCAUAGUACCUGUGAAGAUGCAGGUUACCCGCGACAGGACGGAAAGACCCCAUGGAGCUUUACUACAGCCUGAUAUUGAGGCUUUGUGCAUGAUGUACAGGAUAGGCGGGAGACGUCGAGCCCGGAGCGCCAGCUUCGGAGGAGUCACCCUUGGGAUACCGCCCUUCAUGCAUAGAGUCUCUAACUCGCGGCCGUAAUCCGGCUGGAGGACCGUGUCAGGCGGGUAGUUUGACUGGGGCGGUCGCCUCCUAAACAGUAACGGAGGCGCCCAAAGGUUCCCUCAGAAUGGUUGGAAAUCAUUCGUAGAGCGCAAAGGCAGAAGGGAGCUUGACUGCGAGACCUACAAGUCGAGCAGGGACGAAAGUCGGGCUUAGUGAUCCGGUGGUUCCGCAUGGAAGGGCCAUCGCUCAACGGAUAAAAGCUACCCUGGGGAUAACAGGCUGAUCUCCCCCAAGAGUCCACAUCGACGGGGAGGUUUGGCACCUCGAUGUCGGCUCAUCGCAUCCUGGGGCUGGAGUAGGUCCCAAGGGUUGGGCUGUUCGCCCAUUAAAGCGGUACGCGAGCUGGGUUCAGAACGUCGUGAGACAGUUCGGUCCCUAUCCGUCGUGGGCGCAGGAAAUUUGAGGAGAGCUGUCCUUAGUACGAGAGGACCGGGAUGGACGCACCGCUGGUGUACCAGUUGUUCCGCCAGGAGCAUCGCUGGGUAGCUACGUGCGGACGGGAUAAAUGCUGAAAGCAUCUAAGCAUGAAGCCCCCUCCAAGAUGAGAUUUCCCUUUGAGUAAUCAAGAAAGACCCCUCAGAGACGAUGAGGUAGAUAGGUCACGGGUGGAAGCAUGGCGACAUGUGGAGCUGAGUGAUACUAAUCGGUCGAGGCCUUGUUCUA